UACAGAGGUCUCAAGCGUUGUUCGGAUUCAUUGGGCGUAAAGGGUGCGUAGGUGGCGCUGUAAGUCGGGUGUGAAAUUUCGGAGCUUAACUCCGAAACUGCAUUCGAUACUGCGGUGCUUGAGGACUGGAGAGGAGACUGGAAUUCAUGGUGUAGCAGUGAAAAUGCGUAGAGAUCAUGAGGAAGACCAGUGGCGAAAGGCG
rnacentral:rRNA from 1 species